GCUGCCUUCAGAGAUGGGUUACCUUCCCCUUCCCAUUGCUGCAUGUUGGCCAGGAGACCACAGGGCUUUGUUUUUACAGAUGUGUCCCUGGGUCGAGGGUCUCCAAGUCUGCUGCUUUAGCAGCUCUCUGCAGAUGUUCUCCAGUGCUGCUCUGGGAUUACAAACUGUGGCUCCCACGUUGUUCUUCUGUUUUAUUAGUCUGGGUCUGUCAUUCUACUUAACCUAGAAAGCAAAUGAGAGAUGAGCAAGUUGGAAGGCCAAGUUUCAUGAACUCCAGGAUGGCUUGUAAUGAGCCCAAGAGGAAACCUGAGAAGUAUUUGCAGAAGUAAAUGUGGGCUCAUGCAUCAUCCACAGACGGCUGUGAGUCAGAGGAGCAUACCUGGGUCCUGACAAUACCGGACAUGUGUUCAGUUAGGACUUUGCUACCAUGGAUCAAUGCCAGCCCUGCAAAAGGACCUUCUCCUAAGAGCUUGCUUUCUUGCAUAUUUGGAAGAAAUUGUAGGAAAAAGAAAAAGGAAAAAAACAAAAACAAACAAACAAAAAAAACCAGCUUGUGCUUGGUGAUGGAGCAGCACUGCAAAGUAGCUUGGUCCAGCAUUUCAUCAAUGCUUGGAUGAACAGAACUACAAUACCUGUUCUGCACUGGUUGCUUUCACACCUUUUUUGCGGAGCUGGAUCAUACUCUUUCUAUUCACUUUAUUAUCACUGAUAUUUAAGGUGAAUCUGUUCUUUCCCUUCUGAUCUUACUGAAAUCACCUCCAGUGAAACGCUUCCAAGUGUAUAUGAAGCCUUGGUUGGAUUAUUCUAUCUCUAGCACACAACAUUGACUUGACUGAGUUAUUAGUGUUAGAUACAGAAACUUGCAACUACUAUAUGGAGCACCUGCAUAUAAUGGAAAGAACAUGGUAAAGUCAAGAAUAGAAAACAAGUUUUGUACGAUACCUGACACAAAACUUGCUGCUGCCACCACGAGCAGUGCAACCCACAUAGAUUUAACAACUCUUUGACCAAAACUGCUCUGGGUGACAUAGGGAUUUUUUUCUCUGUUAGAAGGUAGCAAUUUUUUGUGUUGUGUGUGUACAAUAUCACUUUCCCCUUUCUAGAACCCACAAAUGCAACUAAAACUUUAGUUUCUGAGUUGCUUAAAAGUUUUCAUUCCUUUCUGUGCUCUAGCAGCUUUCCAGAGUACCUUCCUCCUUUUGUUUUUUUGUGUUUUCUUAUUGAAGUUUUUCAAGGAAUGACAGACAGCAAGAAAGGGUGAUUGUUUCUUUCUCUUGCUGAAGUUUCUUCAUCUCCAUAAACUUUUACUUGGCCUGUGACAGGGCAUAGUGAAAAGGCACAGUGAAAAGAAGGAAGCAUGGUUUCACUGUAAACCUAUUUGGGGCCUUUUGGGGACAACACUAAGCACCUGAAUCAGUGACCUCACUGAAGGGAUCAGCCUUGCACUGAGCAGACACUCACAGAAUCAGAGAAUCAUGAAAUCGUCUGAUUUAGAAAAGACCUUCAGGAUCACCUUGUACCAGGACUCUGUAAGGAAACUGGUGACUACCCCAAAAAGUGUAGCAUUGUCUUAAAGCAUCUCCUGAUUGUGCUCUGAACACUUGUGUCAUCGUCACUGAUAAAUGGUGUUCUUAGCAUUCUCAUAUUUGUAGUGCUAGAGGUUACUCUGUAGUGUUUUGUUUAUUUAUUUUUAUUUUUUUCUUGUUUCUGUAUAUGUUUGUUUGUUUGUUAGUUUUUGACUUGUGGAUCCUUCCUUCUGAGUUUUGAAGUCCACCAAAACAUUCCUGGAUGUGUGUGAUAACCAAGCAGCCUAUAUCUCACAUUUAUGAUCACCAGAUUUUAUCUGCUCUGACAGACGGAACCUUCUGUAUUUGGGCUGAUAAGAAGGCAGAGGCAUCAAAAUCCAUAUGGGGGGAAUAAAACUCUCUUCCAAAUGGCUGGCACAUGUACUUGGCUGCCUGCAGGCAACCAAGUCCUUGGUUUUAGAGUAACAGCUGGAUUAUUUUAUCUGUUUAGCAAGGAAGGACCAAACCACAAAAACUGCAGCCAGUGCUGAGAAUCUGCAAGUGGAUUGCACUAUAAAACUCUUUGGUUACGUUUUUACGAGAGAAAAAAAAAACGGUGGAAAAUUAAUUAGGAAAAUAUCCACGUUCCAUUAACUAGUUUGGUCACUCAUCAGGUGGUUUAUUUAUAAGCACUGCUGGCAGUAUUUUCUGUUGGAUCUUGGUCUUGGAGGACUAGGUCAUGCCCACAGCAGCUGUGUGUGGGCUGAUAUAUAUUGAUAUAAGAAUAUGGGCGCAAAUUCAGCUGCCUUUUUUCUAUGAGCUUUUCUGUCACAUUUGACCCUAGAUAUUGCAGUUACUGUAGUUAAAUAGCAGGGAUGUCACUAUAUAUUUAAUACUGAAGUUAAUUUAUGGAGAUCAUUCACUAUUAAUUCUCACUGUUUUAUUAGAGUGCCAAUUGCACAUAUUAAAAAACUUACAUUUAACUGAACGUUUCUGUGAGGCACAGCUCUCCGUGGGCCUCGGAAGGGGGUCAGAGAAGCUGACACCUAUGAGUUGGUGGAUAUCUGGGGGUCACUUGACUUGUUUUUCCAGAUUUUGCAUCAAAACCUGUGCUUAGCUUCCUUGGUGCGCUGGAGUUCCCCCAGGAGGUGGUGUGACCGUGCUCAUGCAGGCUGGUGAAUUCCUCGCUCGUCAGAGUUGCCUGAGUGUGGGUGGGCUCCUGAGCUUGCAGUGGGACGAUGCACUCCAUGCCUGCUUUCAGGCUCAGAUAAGAAGCUUCUGCUUCUUUUCGAUGAUAUGUUUAAUUCUGUGUGAUUUAUGUACACAUAAAUAUAUAUAACAUG